GGCGAGGAGCGGGGUAGCUCUUUGCCUAGGACCUUUGAGAUUGAGUCAGGCAAGAAGCGGGGUAGCUCUUUGCCUAGGACCUUCGAGAUUGGGUCGGGCGAGGAGAGGGGUAGCUCUUUGCCUAGGACCGUUGAGAUUUGAGAUCUUAGGCAAGUUGGCCUAGUCGAUUGGGUUGUAACAUGAAUAGCAUAAGUGGAUUGCAUUCAUACCAUGAUUAGACAUAGUAGACUGCAUAACUAUGUUGUAGUUGUAUUCAUUACACUGUUGAAGCAUACUAGCAUGAUAGUAGGUUAUUGCUAGAUGAUGUUCCAUGCAUUCUUUGCAUUUGAUGGCAUAGUAGAUAUAGUAGCAGUUUAUUUCUAUCUACCUUUCUAUCUAUCUAUCUGUGCCAGCUUGGACCUAGUGGGAAGAUCGGCGGAGUCGGCGGCCGAACCUACUGGGAACUAUAUUUAUAUAGUUCUCACCCCGUGUGGUUUUGGGGUACAGGUAUACUCGAGAGCGGACCAGCAGAUGAUCGCGACAAGGGCUUAGUGCCCUAGUGCUAGUUGGUAGAUGCUUUCCUAUUGCAUUAGUUGUCACCCUAUAUACUUGAGAGUAGAUGAUGUAUAGGUGUGAGGCUAUUUUGGAAAAAUGUAAACUUUAAGUUAUGUUGUAUAUUGGCAGAAUGUAAAGUUAAUCAAAUGUAUAAAGUUGAAUGAAUGUAAUAACUUAGUCUCUCUCUCUUUUAUUCACUUGUAUGUUAUUACUCGUGAUGCUUGCUCAUGUGAUGUUCAGCACUGUUUGUACUCUCGCUAUUGUUGCAUGAUCGUGUAUGUAUUCAACUUGAUUUCCUGGGGACUUGUUGUACACGAUCGUGUUGUUUAGCCUUGGGCGGACAGGGGAGGUGCUGUCCGUACGACGGUCCGCCCGCCGCGCCCGAACCGUGCCAAAUCGGUAGCGGCCUCGGGGCGGGGGCGUGACAAUAUCCUUAGAGUUAAGGAUCGAUCAUACUUGCUAUGAGUUCCGUGCUCGAGGGCGGUCGCUCCCCCUCGAGCGAUGCGCUCCGGAGUUUUGCAUCACGGGUUGGAGUAAACCCGAGGACGGUUUUAGCGGGAGGCAGCUGAGGGCCCGC
rnacentral:lncRNA from 1 species